rnacentral:lncRNA from 1 species
GUGGAACGAGGCGAGGGCGGCGUGGGGGUUCGGUUUUUAUAGGGGGAGGGGGUGGCCGAGGAGGGUAGGGAAUCGGGGUUGCCAUGGAAAUUGCAGGUUCGCUGGGAGAAAGGAAGGUCACGGGAGUACAGAGAAGGAAGGAAGAAGAAGAGGGAAGGAAAGAGAGAGAAGAAAAAAAGGAAAGAAAAAGAAAAGGGGAAAGAAAGAAAAAA